rnacentral:rRNA from 1 species
UACGUAGGGGGCAAGCGUUGUCCGGAUUUAUUGGGCGUAAAGAGCGUGUAGGCGGCUUUACAGGUCCGUUGUGAAAACUGGAGGCUCAACCUUCAGAGGUCGACCGAAACCAUCUGGCUAGAGUCCGGGAGAGGAGAGUGGAAUUCCUGGUGUAGCGGUGAAAUGCGCAGAUAUCAGGAAGAACACCCGUGGCGAAAGCGGCUCUCUGGAACGGUACUGACGCUGAGACGCGAAAGCGUGGGGAGCGAACAGG